GAUGAACGCUGGCGGCGUGCCUAAUACAUGCAAGUCGAGCGAGUGGAUUAAGAGCUUGCUCUUAUGAAGUUAGCGGCGGACGGGUGAGUAACACGUGGGUAACCUGCCCAUAAGACUGGGAUAACUCCGGGAAACCGGGGCUAAUACCGGAUAACAUUUUGAACCGCAUGGUUCGAAAUUGAAAGGCGGCUUCGGCUGUCACUUAUGGAUGGACCCGCGUCGCAUUAGCUAGUUGGUGAGGUAACGGCUCACCAAGGCAACGAUGCGUAGCCGAGCUGGGAGGGUGAUCGGCCACACUGGGACUGAGACACGGCCCAGACUCCUACGGGAGGCAGCAGUAGGGAAUCUUCCGCAAUGGACGAAAGUCUGACGGAGCAACGCCGCGUGAGUGAUGAAGGCUUUCGGGUCGUAAAACUCUGUUGUUAGGGAAGAACAAGUGCUAGUUGAAUAAGCUGGCACCUUGACGGUACCUAACCAGAAAGCCACGGCUAACUAUGUGCCAGCCGCCGCGGUAA
rnacentral:rRNA from 1 species